GUCUACGGCCAUACCACCCUGAACACGCCCAAUCUCAUCUGAUCUCGGAAGAGCACUGGUUGCUCCUCCACAGGACCCAGGUUCAGUUCCUCGAACGGCGUGGUGGCUC
rnacentral:rRNA from 1 species